rnacentral:misc_RNA from 1 species
GUAGGUGAACCUGCGGAAGGAUCAUUACUGAGUUCAUGCCCUAACGGGUAGAUCUCCCACCCUUGAAUAUAUAAACCUUUGUUGCUUUGGCGGGCCGCUUCGGCUACCGGCUUCGGCUGGUGAGUGCCCGCCAGAGGACCCAAACUCUAAUGUUUCUUAUUGUAACUUCUGAGUAAAACAAACUAAUAAAUCAAAACUUUCAACAACGGAUCUCUUGGUUCUG